rnacentral:tRNA from 1 species
GGGAAUGUAGAUCAAUGGUAGAUCAUUUGCUUUGCAAGCAAAAUGUUGUUGGUUCAAGUCCAAUCAUUUCCA